ACGAAAGUAAUUCGAAUGUGCCUGUGCUGAUACAAAACAAAGACACAGUUCUGUUCAAAACAAAAAGGAUACAAUGACGGACAGUAAAUUCUGUGCUAAUUGUCAGUGUUUUGAUAAAGACACAAAAGCCGUAUCAUGGUGCAGUAAUUGCAUUGAAUUUGUAUGAAAGGUGUGUUCCAGUGCUCACGAAAUAAUGUUCCCGCCUCACAAGGUAGUACCAUUGCAACAGAUGCAACAACUCAGUUCUUCACUUCUUAUAUUGUCAAAGAACUGCGACAAUCAUUCAGAUCAAAAGAUUGUGCUGUACUGCUGUCAACAUGACAAGGUAAUCUGCGUUUCAUGUGUACCGGUAUCACAUCGUAAUUGUACGACCGUGUCCAUUGAAAAAGCUGCUAGAGGCGUAAAAGAUAGCACCGCUAUUUUUUAUCUAGAGAGAAGGAUUUCUAACCUCUGUCAGGUUACAGAGAACAUACGGAGUCAAAAUGAGACAACACCUGUAGAUUUAGAAAAAAAUCGAAAAACAAUCAAGUUAAAGGGUGUCGGAAUUAAAGCAGACCAUUAUUGCUUAUUUAAAUACGUUAGAAGCAGCGAUACAUAAAGACAUUGAUUGCCAUUAUAAAAACUGUACUGAGAGUGUGGCCCGAAAGAAAAAAUAGUAUCCAAUCCAGCUUAGACUCGCUGUCUACAUGGAAAAGUGAUAUAACAUCACUGAAGGAACACACAUCUGAAAUCCAUUUAUUCCAGUUCUUAAAAUUUCUAGAUGCAAAUACAUACCAGAAAGAAUUGGAAAUCAGAGAAAUCCAAACAGCAGCUGUUCCGAUACUCCGAUAUCAUCCAUCAGAAUAAGAGUCGAACAUUAAGAAACUAUUCCUAGACUUGGGUACAAUAACGGUAGAAAAUGUUCAAGUACCAAAGCCUUUACUAGAUAUCGAUCAACAAGGUCAAUUUCUCGUUAGAAACGACAGAAAGUUAUCACUAGCACAUUCAUUCAAAAUCACGAAAUUAAGUAAAAGAGUAAGUAUUCCCAGAGGAUGCUUUAUUUCUGAGGAUAAGUUACUCAUGUUACUCCUCGGUCACAACAAUGACGAACAACGUUUUGUUUGUACACGUGAUGGAUCGAACUCCAACGUGAUUGAUUUAGAUUAUUCAUCACGAGAUAUAAGCUUAUAUGACAAAAACCAUGCUUUAGUAUCUGUUGGUGAUUCAGGUAUCCAGAUUAUCGACCUGACAGCAUUGAAGCCUGGUAGGAUAAUCAGAGUUGAAGGAAACUGUAGAGGAAUCACCAGUGUAAAGGACAAGAUCUGGGUAAAAAAUCAAUCUUAAGUUCUAACCAUUAUGAAUAUCAAUAGUAAAGUUCUAAAUACAAUACAAACAACAUUUAAUCCUUAUGAAAUCUGGGCCAAUCAAGAUGGUGAUGUCUAUUGUACUGACAACAAUAGUGUUAAAGUAUACGUUGUUACAUCGGAUGGAAAAGAACGUGAGAAAUACAACCGUCCUGACCUGAAAAGUGCUAAUGGUGUAGCUAUAGAUGACCAAGGUGAUGUGUAUGUAGCAGGAUAUAUAUCAAACAAAAUACAUAGAAUAUCUUACAAUGGAAAGAAACAUGGCAUUGUCCUGACAGCAGACGAUGGUAUCAAUGGACCGAGCGCUAUAUCUUACAACAAUGAAACAAGAGAACUGUUAGUUUUUAACGACGGUUCGCAAUGUUUCAACAUCUAUAAAACACAAUGAAUACUAGCUAAGAGGCACUUACUUAGUUAGUAUGGAUGGUUACCCUAAAGAUAAACAAAAAAGUUUUUAUAUCUUAAUGAAAAAAUUGAUAUAAAUAUAACCGGGUUUUCAAAUAUUUAUUGAAACUUUUUCAGAUUUACCUUUAUACUGACAAAUUGAACCAUACCGAAAUGAUUAAAUAAUAUUUGAUGGAAGUAUCUAACUAAAUCUGAAGUCUUAUCAAUAUGAGACCUUUUUUCUUAAAUACUACGAAUUAGAAAAUCUAGAAAAAUAUUUUGAUUUGGACUACAUUUUUGUAUUUAUACAUUGCAAGUAAUUUUUCAAACUUGCACACAAUGCAAAACUAGAGCACUGUAGCGGAUGGGUUUAAAUAUAUAUUGAUAGGCUUUUUGUACUAGUUGUAAGUAAUUUUUCAAAUUUGCACACUGAGCAAGAGAAGGACACUAUAGCGGAUGGGUUUGCAUAUUUCAUUCCAUUCUAUUUCAGUUCAGGAAAGACCAAAAUUGUGAGUCAGUGAUUUGGAACUUUAUAAUAAGACCAAAUAUUAAAAAAAAACUUUAUCUACAUGUUCCUUAGGGAAUCAAGUUCAAAAUGAUAUUCGGUGAUUUGAUACAUCAGUAAACAUGGCACCAGUUGUUAAAAAUAGAAAUAAAAUGCUGAUUUGUUUUUAA